AGGAAUAUUGGUCAAUGGACGAGAGUCUGAACCAGCCAAGUAGCGUGAAGGAUGACUGCCCUAUGGGUUGUAAACUUCUUUUAUACGGGAAUAAAGUGAGGCACGUGUGCCUUUUUGUAUGUACCUUAUGAAUAAGGAUCGGCUAACUCCGUGCCAGCAGCCGCGGUAAUACGGAGGAUCCGAGCGUUAUCCGGAUUUAUUGGGUUUAAAGGGUGCGUAGGCGGCCUUUUAAGUCAGCGGUGAAAGUCUGUGGCUCAACCAUAGAAUUGCCGUUGAAACUGGGGGGCUUGAGUAUGUUUGAGGCAGGCGGAAUGCGUGGUGUAGCGGUGAAAUGCAUAGAUAUCACGCAGAACCCCGAUUGCGAAGGCAGCCUGCCAAGCCAUUACUGACGCUGAUGCACGAAAGCGUGGGGAUCAAACAGGAUUAGAUACCCUGGUAGUCCACGCAGUAAACGAUGAUCACUAGUUGUUUGCGAUACACUGUAAGCGGCACAGCGAAAGCGUUAAGUGAUCCACCUGGGGAGUACGCCGGCAACGGUGAAACUCAAAGGAAUUGACGGGGGCCCGCACAAGCGGAGGAACAUGUGGUUUAAUUCGAUGAUACGCGAGGAACCUUACCCGGGUUUGAACGCAUUCGGACCGAGGUGGAAACACCUUUUCUAGCUAUAGCCGUUUGCGAGGUGCUGCAUGGUUGUCGUCAGCUCGUGCCGUGAGGUGUCGGCUUAAGUGCCAUAACGAGCGCAACCCUUGCCACUAGUUACUAACAGGUAAAGCUGAGGACUCUGGUGGGACUGCCAGCGUAAGCUGCGAGGAAGGCGGGGAUGACGUCAAAUCAGCACGGCCCUUACAUCCGGGGCGACACACGUGUUACAAUGGCGUGGACAAAGGGAAGCCACCUGGCGACAGGGAGCGAAUCCCCAAACCACGUCUCAGUUCGGAUCGGAGUCUGCAACCCGACUCCGUGAAGCUGGAUUCGCUAGUAAUCGCGCAUCAGCCAUGGCGCGGUGAAUACGUUCCCG
rnacentral:rRNA from 1 species